GUCCACGCCGUAAACGGUGGGCGCUAGGUGUGGGGAACAUUCCACGUUCUCCGUGCCGCAGCUAACGCAUUAAGCGCCCCGCCUGGGGAGUACGGCCGCAAGGCUAAAACUCAAAGGAAUUGACGGGGGCCCGCACAAGCGGCGGAGCAUGCGGCUUAAUUCGAUGCAACGCGAAGAACCUUACCUAGGCUUGACAGUUGGGGAAAUCUGGCAGAGAUGUCAGGUCCGCAAGGGCCCCAAAACAGGUGGUGCAUGGCUGUCGU
rnacentral:rRNA from 1 species